CAGCCGCCACGGUAAUACAGAGGGUGCGAGCGUUAAUCGGAUUUACUGGGCGUAAAGCGUGCGUAGGCGGCUAAUUGAGUCGGAUGUGAAAUCCCCGAGCUUAACUUGGGAAUUGCAUUCGAUACUGGUUAGCUAGAGUGUGGGAGAGGAUGGUAGAAUUCCAGGUGUAGCGGUGAAAUGCGUAGAGAUCUGGAGGAAUACCGAUGGCGAAGGCAGCCAUCUGGCCUAACACUGACGCUGAGGUACGAAAGCAUGGGGAGCAAACAGGAUUAGAUACCCCUGUAGUCCCUGUCUCUUAUAC
rnacentral:rRNA from 1 species